rnacentral:rRNA from 1 species
CCUACGGGAGGCAGCAGUGAGGAAUAUUGGUCAAUGGGCGCGAGCCUGAACCAGCCAAGUCGCGUGAGGGAAGACGGUCCUAUGGAUUGUAAACCUCUUUUGUCGGGGAGCAAAAGACGCCACGCGUGGCGUUCCGAGAGUACCCGGAGGAAAAGCAUCGGCUAACUCCGUGCCAGCAGCCGCGGUAAUACGGAGGAUGCGAGCGUUAUCCGGAUUUAUUGGGUUUAAAGGGUGCGCAGGCGGAAGAUUAAGUCAGCGGUAAAAUUGAGAGGCUCAACCUCGUCGAGCCGUUGAAACUGGUGUUCUUGAGUGGGCGAGAAGUAUGCGGAAUGCGUGGUGUAGCGGUGAAAUGCAUAGAUAUCACGCAGAACCCCGAUUGCGAAGGCAGCAUACCGGCGCCCAACUGACGCUCAUGCACGAAAGCGUGGGGAUCGAACAGGAUUAGAUACCCGGGUAGUC